AUGAUUAAUAAUAUUACAUUUAGCUUUUCUCCUGUACUUUAUCUAAUAGGUCAAAAAAUUUGCGACUUACGUGGUUGCUGCUGGACUUCAGUAUGGAGUGGAAGGAGGCAUCUUACAUUAUUUUUUCAAGAUGGCUUGGUUGGGUGAGGUCCCUGCGUUGCCAGUGUUUGGAGAUGGAACAAAUGUAAUCCCAACAAUCCAUGUUCUUGAUCUAGCAGGAGUGAUUCAAAACAUAAUAGACCACGUGCCCAAGCUUCACUACCUGGUUGCUGUGGACGAGUCCAUUCACACCCUGGAAGACUUGGUCAAGUGCAUCAGUAAAAAUACUGGCCCUGGGAAAAUCCAGAGACUCCCCAAAGAAAAUGCUUUCCUAACCAAGGACUUAACAGUAAGUACUGAAGAG